GACCUGACCCCUCAGAAGUUUCAUAUCCAGUACUAGAGUCCCCGUCUAGUGCUGACAGCUUUGACGCCACAGUGUCCAACAAGUGAAGCAACCUGCUACCAUUCUUCACCACUUCUAACUCUUCGGAAUUAUGCAACAAUUCCACAGAUGUGGCACAAUCAAGCAAACCAGUAAAGCUUAAAGAUUGCCGAAGCCCAAGGUUAACCAAAAUCUCAAGUAACUCCGGACUAGAG
rnacentral:misc_RNA from 1 species